AUUCAAGCAGCAGCCAAGUGCCAGCGGUCAAGCCAACACAUCACACAUUCUCUUGACAUCUUACCAUUGCCUUGCCUCCUCUGUUUCCUCAGCUCACUCUAAUUCGGCGAUUCCUAACGUUGUGGGUGAGCAGCGCGCACGCUCUUUAGCUGGUGACGGUAAAGUCUUUUAUCUACUUCUCCCCAUGCCUCCUACGUGCUUGUGAAAAUUACCCUAUGGCUAAAACUUAGUGAUUCACACGAAAGCUGGCAACUUAAUGACUUAGAGGCAAGAUGGUUUCAUCCCUCUAUUAUCUGACGAUGGAAUCUGCUCGCAACUACAUUACCCACGUUGGGUUGUGGGGUUUAAUUUCAUUGGUCUUGUUCUAGUUGUGGAUGAUAUGCUUGAAUGAUAGCUGCCUCUCAAAUACCAUCUUUACUAUUCUCUGUCCGUUGACAAUUUUGGCGCGGGGGGGAAUGCUCAUUUAAGUGUGAAAAUGGUAUUGAUGAGUGUUGGGCAUAUCAUAAUUCUGACAGAAGAUGCAGUAGUUUUCGAUUCUUUCUUCUGCUUUGAAGCUUAUAUAUCCCAUUUUCAGGAAAAAAAAACCUGUGUGACAUGUGUCUCUAUAGAAAGUAUCACGGGGAUAUCCGUUGGAGUUUUGUAGAUCCAACUAUGUAAGCUCGAUCAAUGAAAGUGAGCAGAAGUGUCCUAUAUUUUUGGAGAUGUGGACAUUUCCCUUUGUCUUGAGAGUGAUGCGAAGACAUAGAGAUAAGUAUCAUUGCAACUCUCUUCCAUAUGCUGAAUCUCUCUGCCCUUUAUUCUCCACAAAUGCUCUGCAACUCGAAUCAGAUUUCAUUGGAGUUGAGAAGGAAGAGAGGCAUUUUGAUCUUUUGAUCCGGUCUCACACAAAAAUGGAUCAUGCGAAGUGUCAUCAUGCUCAGCUUUUAGUAUCAGGGAAAGCUCAAAAUAAGUUCUUCUCCACCAGACUAGUGAAUCUUUAUUUACAUCUUGGUGAUGUCUUCUUAUCUCGAUGCACCUUCAAUUGGAUUCCAAAGAAGGAUGUCUUCGUAUGGAACUGUAUGAUGUCUGCUUAUGUCCGUUGUGGUUUUUUCAGUGCUGCUAUAAAUUGUUACCGCAAGUUUAUUAUAUCCUCUGAUCUUCGACCUGAUUUCUAUACUUUUCCUCCGUUGCUGAAAGCUUGUGGAAAUGUAUUGGAAGGAAAAAGGUUCCAUUGCUCAAUUAUGAAGCUGGGUUUUCAAUCUGACGUAUUCGUUGCUGCUUCCUUGGUACACAUGUAUGCUCGACAUGGCUACUUAGGUGUUGCUCGUCAGGUAUUUGAUGAUAUGCCAUUCCGAGAUACAGGCUCAUGGAAUGCAAUGAUUUCUGGGUAUUGUCAGAAUGGAAAUGCUGCUGAAGCACUGGAUAUUUUGUCUGCUAUGAGGUCGCAAGGAAUAAAGAUGGAUUCUAUAACUGUAUGCAGUCUCCUUGCCAUUUGUGCUCAGUUUGAUGAUGCAUUGAGUGGGAUAUUGAUUCAUCUAUACGUCAUUAAGCAUGGGUUGGAAUUUGAUUUAUUCGUGAAUAAUGCUCUAAUAAACAUGUAUGCCAAGUUCAGUAAAUUGGGAGAUGCCCAACAAAUAUUUGAGAGCAUGGUGGUAAAAGAUGUAGUCUCAUGGAACUCAAUUAUUGCCGCAUAUGAACAGAAUAAUGAUCCAGUUACUGCAUGUUUGUUUUUUAAGGAGAUGCAGUCAACUGGUUUAAAGCCUGAUUUGUUGACAGUAGUUAGUUUAGCUUCAACCUUUGCUCAGGUAAAUGAUUCGCGAAAUAGCAAGUCUCUUCACUGUUGCACUCUCAGGAGGGGUUGGCUUUUGGAGGAUGUAGUACUUGGAAAUGCAGUUGUGGACAUGUAUGCAAAAUUGGGCUAUGUAGAUUAUGCACUUCAAGUGUUUGAAGAACUCCCUGCCAAAGAUGUUAUUUCAUGGAACACUUUAAUUACAGGUUACGCUCAGAAUGGUCUUGCAAGUGAAGCAAUUGAAGCAUACCACCUGAUGGAAGAGUGUGGAGGGAUAACUCCAAAUGAAGGAACUUGGGUGAGUAUUCUCACAGCUUGUGCUAGCGCUGGAGCUUUAAAAGAAGGCAUGAGAAUUCAUGCACUCAUUAUUAGAAAUGGCCUUGUAGCAGAUGUCUUUGUGGGGACCUGCCUUAUCGACAUGUACGGGAAAUGCGGGAGACUUGAUGACGCGAUGUCAUUAUUCUACAAUAUUCCUAGAAAUACUUCAGUCCCAUGGAAUGCCAUCAUAUCUUGCCAUGGUCUUCAUGGGCAUGGUGACAAAGCUUUAAAAUUAUUUGAAGAAAUGCAAAAAGAGGGAGUUGAGCCAGAUCAUAUAACCUUUGUAUCCUUAUUGUCUGCUUGCAGCCAUGCUGGUUUGGUUAAUGAGGGUCAAUUUAGCUUUCAGGUGAUGCAGGAACAGUAUAGGAUUAAACCAGGUUUAAAGCAUUAUGGCUGCAUGGUUGAUUUGCUUGCUAGAGCAGGUUUGAUAGAAAAGGCAUAUGAUUUCAUCCAAAACAUGCCUAUACGUCCUGAUGCUUCCAUAUGGGGCGCUCUUCUUGGUGCAUGUAGAAUACAUGAAAAUGCUGAAUUGGGGACCUUAGCUUCGGACCGCUUGUUUGAGGUUGAUCCAGAGAAUGUUGGUUAUUACGUUCUAUUGUCUAAUAUAUAUGCCAAUGCUGGGAAAUGGGAUGUAAUGGGCAAAGUCAGAUCAUUUGCUAGAGACAGGGGCUUGAGGAAAACUCCUGGUUGGAGUUCAAUCGAAGUGAAUAAUACUUUUGAGGUCUUCUACACUGGCAACCAAACCCAUCCAAAAUAUGAGGAGAUCUAUAAUGAAUUGAGGAUUCUGACUGCAAAAAUGAAAGGCCUGGGUUACAUUCCUGAUUAUAGAUUUGUGUUGCAAGAUGUCGAGGAUGAUGAAAAGGAGGAUAUUCUUACAAGUCACAGUGAGCGAUUGGCCAUUGCAUUUGGAAUCAUCAGCACCUUUCCUAAAUCUCCACUUCGAAUCUUCAAGAACCUGCGUGUUUGUGGCGAUUGCCACAUUGCCACAAAGCUCAUAUCUGUGAUUACAGAGAGGGAUAUUAUUGUGAGAGAUUCAAACCGUUUCCAUCACUUCAAGGAUGGCAUUUGUUCAUGCGGAGAUUACUGGUGAAUUGAAUUAUUGUUGUUGCUAUUUGGUUUGGUCAACUCUCUCGUGAAUUCAUGAGAAUGCUUAUUGGUUCCACACUAUACUUGCAAAAUGCCUCCUUUGCCAGUGCAGUGGUGUACAUCGUGUGGAAUGAUAUAAAGCAGAAUUUCUGAUUAUUCCUGUGAAGGUCUGUCGCUACCGUACUCAAGUGACUAUUAAAGGGAAUGUUUGACAGUGUGUUCUUAUGCUUGUUCAUGUUUCUUCGAAGGAAGUAGCAGCUUCUAUAGCCUCUCUUCAGGAAGAGUUCACGGGCAGAAGCACUUGUUCUCUCUGACACUAAUUCCUCAAAAACACUGGCUUUAUUCGAGGUGCUUUCACAUAUGUUUUUUGGCCUCAUCUCUCUUUUGAGAUAACUCAGUUGACCAUAGUUGCAGGCUUGAGGGUGAGAACGAGCAAAGAUUGUUGCACUGGGGAGACUAGGCUGAAAAACGAAAAUGUGCAUUUGGAAAGGGACAUCUGCCAGAAUAGAUGCCAUUAGACUACUGUCUGUCCAGUUCAGUCGUAUUAUCUAUAGCAACACCUAUCAUGAACUUGCAUGUGUCUUCAAGUAGGAUAUGGAGGAGGCCCUGAGUACAUAACUCUCCAUCUCUAAUAUCAUUAUAUAAAAAGACGGAAGUGGUAAGCGUCCUUCUUUGUCUCUAUUGCA